GAUGAACGCUGGCGGCGUGCCUAACACAUGCAAGUCGAGCGGACGGACGAGAAGCUUGUGUCUCUGAUGUUAGCGGCGGGCGGGUGAGUAACACGUGGAUAACCUACCUAUCUGACUGGGAUAACUUCGGGAAACCGGAGCUAAUACCGGAGAAUAUUUUGAACCGCAUGGUUCAAUAGUGAAUGACGGUCUUGCUGUCACUUAUAGAUGGUUCCGCGCUGCAUUAGCUAGUUGGUAGGGUAACGGCUUACCAAGGCAACGAUGCAUAGCCGACCUGAGAGAGGGAUAGGCCACACUGGAAGUGGGACACGGUCCAGACUCCUACGGGAGGCAGCAGUAGGGAAUCUUGGGCAAUGGGCGAAAGCCUGACGCAGCAACGCCGCGUGGGUGAAGAAGGCCUUCGGGUCGUAAAGCUCUGUUAUUAGGGAAGAACAUCUGUGUAUUUAGACGUGGACGUCUUGACGGUACCUAAUGAAUAAGCACCGGCUAACUACGUG
rnacentral:rRNA from 1 species